UAGUAAAUAUUUGUUAUUCUCUACAGAGAUAAUGAUUCUAUUUUACAGAUUUUAUUUGCGACUUCUAAAGAACUGUAUGUGCAUAGCCUGUUCUUCCCAUAAGUGAUAAAACAUAAGCUAUCCUAUUGUGCCUAAACUUUUGUGCUUGGAAGUACGUCUUGUUCUGUUCCUUUCUAUUAUUGCCUGACUUAUUGAUCUCUUUGUAUCCAGUAUAUUUGUCUUCGAUUGCUUAGAAAUGGAAACUGAAGGAAGAACUGUUGCAAGAAUUCUGGCAUAUGGAAUAAGUCGCUUCUGCUUUGCUACCUUUAUGACAUUUAUUGGCUUUUUACUUGCGAAAUAUUGCUUUUUUCCUUUAAUACACUUCAUCAUAUUUCUGAUGAUAGCUGUAACUAUCUGGUACAUUUUUGACACAAAGGAAUGUGCACCAACUUUAGACCAAACAGAUAAUUUAGACAACGAAGAUGAAGACAUGGAAGAAGAUGGUCACCCUGGUACCGAACCAGUUUUUGUCAUUGGAACAAUGAUGACAAAUGAUCCUGAGAAUGGAACAGCUCCUGAUGUUAGGAUCCCGAUGACUAAUCAGGAUGCUUGAGAAAUAUUGUCUUCUGAUAAAUCAUCAUCUUCUGAACAUUGCUUAUCAGGGACCCAAAAAUAAAAAUAAAAAACACGCAAGAUUUUGUUCAGUAAAUUACAUUUGAAAGAACUUUCAUCAAAACAGCAGAAAGGAUAUAAUAAUAUGUCGUUUGACUUGUGAUCAAUGGUAUCUUUCCACUCUUCAAAAAGUAAAUGCUGAAGUAUACUUCAGCAGUUUCAAAUUAUUUGCUGGUAGCAUUGUUCUGUGAUGGUGAUUGUGAAGCCGAUAUGAAUUUGGGGUUAUUAUAUUAAUUAUGUAUUUUAAGGAUAGAACUUGAUGUUCUUUCGAAAUAAAAAAUAUGAAGGUGGUGGGAAAACAAAACAAAAAUUGUUCUAUCAACUGUUACCUUGCAUGUAACGAAAAAUAAAUAAAAAAUAAACAGAAUUGAUACAUUGAAA